rnacentral:rRNA from 1 species
UACGCAGGGGGCUAGCGUUGCUCGGAAUCACUGGGCGUAAAGGGUGCGUAGGCGGGUCUUUAAGUCAGGGGUGAAAUCCUGGAGCUCAACUCCAGAACUGCCUUUGAUACUGAGGAUCUUGAGUACGGGAGAGGUGAGUGGAACUGCGAGUGUAGAGGUGAAAUUCGUAGAUAUUCGCAAGAACACCAGUGGCGAAGGCGGCUCACUGGCCCGUUACUGACGCUGAGGCACGAAAGCGUGGGGAGCAAACAGG